rnacentral:sRNA from 2 species
GUUUGCACUUGUCGGGGAAGGGUGAGAACCUUCGAUUAAGGUUCGACUCGAGCGAAAGCGAGAGAAUGUUGCCAACGGCAACGGCCCGUAGGUUGAGGAGCGAAGCGACGAAUAAUCCUUCCCCCACCACCA